rnacentral:piRNA from 1 species
UACGUAGUGGGUGCUUACCACGGGCCAGU